ACGUAUGGUGCAAGCGUUAUCCGGAUUUACUGGGUGUAAAGGGAACGCAGGCGGUGCGGCAAGUCUGAUGUGAAAGCCCGGGGCUCAACCCCGGUACUGCAUUGGAAACUGUCGUACUAGAGUGUCGGAGGGGUAAGCGGAAUUCCUAGUGUAGCGGUGAAAUGCGUAGAUAUUAGGAGGAACACCAGUGGCGAAGGCGGCUUACUGGACGAUAACUGACGCUGAGGCUCGAAAGCGUGGGGAGCAAACAG
rnacentral:rRNA from 1 species